rnacentral:rRNA from 1 species
AUACGUAGGUGGCAAGCGUUAUCCGGAUUUACUGGGUGUAAAGGGCGCGUAGGCGGGGGUGCAAGUCAGAUGUGAAAUCUAUGGGCUUAACUCAUAAACUGCAUUUGAAACUGUAUCUCUUGAGUGCUGGAGAGGUAGACGGAAUUCCUUGUGUAGCGGUGAAAUGCGUAGAUAUAAGGAAGAACACCAGUGGCGAAGGCGGUCUACUGGACAGUAACUGACGCUGAGGCGCGAAAGCGUGGGGAGCAAACAGGAUUAGAUACCCUGGUAGUCCACGCUGUAAACGAUGAAUACUAGGUGUGGGGGGACUGACCCCCUCCGUGCCGCAGUUAACACAAUAAGUAUUCCACCUGGGGAGUACGGCCGCAAGGCUAAAACUCAAAGGAAUUGACGGGG